CGGCGCGUAGCUCAAAUGGAUAGAGCACCGCACUACGAAUGCGGAGGCUGGAGGUUCGACCCCUCCCGCGCCGA
rnacentral:tRNA from 2 species